GAUGGCGUCACUGCGCGGCUCCGCCCCGCCCUGCGGCGGCAGUGACCGCUAGGGGGCGCCCGAGAGCCGCCUCAGCUCCCUCAGAGCUCCGGAGCCCUCGGGGCGGCCCGGGCUCCUCAGAGCUCCGGGACACCUCAGCGGCCUCGGACCCGCCGGAGCGCCCCGGGGCGCCUCACAGCACUGCCACCUCUGGGACCGCCUGUAACCCCUCUGAGCCCUCAGACUCCCCGACCCCUCAGAGCUCUCAAACCCCCGGGACCCCGCAGCACCCCUCAGACCUCCGGGAUCCUCCGAGGCGCCUUGAAGUCCCAAGUUCCCCGCGGUGCCUCAGAGCCCUCACACCCCUGGGGCCCCUCAAAGCCCUCAGAUCUCUGGGGCCCUUCAAACCCCCCGGAACCCUUCAGGCCCCUGCGACCUCUCAGAGCCCUCAGGCCUCUGGGACCUCCCGGGGCACCUUGGACUCCUCAGACCUUUGAGGUGUCUUAAGAGCCCUCAGACCUGCUGGAACCCCCCCCAGGGCCCCUCAAACCCCUCAGACCCUGAGACUCCUCAGACUCCUCAGACUUUCUGGUGUCUUCAGAGUCUCUCAGACCUUCAGAACCCCCCCCAGGGCCCCUCAGAGCCCUCAGCCCUCUGGGGCCCCCUGAGCCUUGGACUCCUCAGCGCCCUGGGGUGCCUCAGACCCCUCAGACCUGCCAGGAUCCCCCAGGGUGUCUCAGACUCCCGGGGCCCCUCAGAGCUUUCAGACAACCAUCUGAGACACCCCUGGGGUGCCUCAGUCCCUCUGGGACCCCUCAGAUUUCCAGGAUCCCCUGAGAUACCUUGGACUCCUCAAAGCCCUGGGGUGCCUCAGACUCCUCAGACCUUCCAGGAUCCUCCAGGACUCCUCAGAACCUCUGACCUCACGGGGACGCCCUGGGGCCCCCCUGGACCCUUCAGCCCUCCGAAACAACAGAGAUGUGCCUUUGAUUCCUCUGAUUCCUCUCAGUGUAACUUGUGCCAUGAGGAGAUCAAGCAAGCAUGUCAGUGUGUGACUGUCAGCGUGAAGAGACCAACUGUGGCUCCGUGUGUGAGCGAGUUCUGGGCAUGCUACUUCAGGGGCAGUGCUGCAACUGUUAGUUGGCUCUUGCUGUAAUUGAUGGACACUGCCAGUUGCUUAGACAGAUGGGAAUUAAUACCGGUGUUCCCAUUAGAACUCACCAUCACAGUCACGCUGGCUUUGCACUGGGUUGAUGUGUGCAAGAGAGUGCAUGUGGAAGGAGGAAGCGUGGUUCCUGCCUGCAGUACUUGCCUUCCAGGGUGUUGGAGCCAUCCAUCCAACACAGAACAGAUGAGCUGCUUGCCAGCAGUUAGCAGAACACAUGGCUUUGAGGUGGUGUGGAAAAUGCUUCUUUCCUGGAUGCUGAGAGUUUGUGGUGAGCGGGACUCUCAUCCCCGGAGGCGUUUGUGAGCCAUAUUUAUACAGAAAGGGAAGCUGCCAGAGGAAUCAGGCUGCUGAAGGGAUGGCAGAAGAAAAGAAGCCAGAGAAGCAGUAAAAACCAGAUGACUCCACAUGGACUGCACACAUGGAAGAAAUGUCAUGACCAGCAAGUUUGUCACUGGCCAUGGCACAGAGACCACCUUUACUUGCCAGCCUCAGAGAGCUCGUGCUUGAGGGAACUGCCAUCUCCAAAUCAUACCAACCUCCAUCCUCUUAAUUCCCCCAACUCCUCGUCCACCAUAGUAGGAAGCAUCCACCGUGGGCCACUUCUUGGAAGGCAAGGGCUCCUGUUCUUCUUCCUGUAAGUACAUUCAAAUGGUGUUUACUUUUAAAAGAUGCUUCCACACCCACACACUGAAUGUCUUUUCCGUGUAUUUCACUGGCGUUCCCAGAGUGUUGGUUGUGAAAGGGGUGCAAACACUGAGGACAGCAGAGCCUCCAGUGCAUUACUGACUGUAAGAGGGAGAGGAGUUCCCUUGUAAGGGGAAUUCUUCAGUGUCUGGAAUGACAGAGCAGGGGCAAAACGCUGCCUAAGUCCUACAUGAAUCUUUAGAUGUUGGACAAGGGCUAUUCAAGCUUUCUGCUUUCCGUGCAGAAUGUGGGAAACAAAGUUAUCUUGGAAUAAAGGCCCGAAGUGUUUCUGUGGAUCAGGGCCUAAUUCAGGCCACACUGAGCUGAGGCCUGUGGAGAGAGCCACAGAUCCAGAUCUGUGAAAGCAGAGAUCUGGACUUUAGCAGAGGGCACUGUUCUCCACUGAGGGCCCCUCCCCCAGGGCGGUCCUUUCUCCGGCAGCACUCGGACAAGGAGGCGGACACGCAGCGCGCAGGGAAGCACAGGGGUGGUUCCGUGUGAGAGCAGUGUGCUAAGAUGAACACCAUCAGACCAUACCUCUUUUGGGGCUGGUGGAGGUGGAGGGGGAUCCUUGAUGACCUGAAAGAGCCAAACACAGGAAAGAAUAAGGUGCUGCACUGGCAGCAGCCAAAGGCAACAGACCACGGUAAGAGUGACCUGUUUCCACCUGAGCCCUCACGACCGCCAGUGAGCUGGCAGCCUGUGCUGCCUGCUCCCCUGAGCAUCCAUCAGCGAGGCCUGCUGGAAAUGAGCCCCAUCCCCAGCCUGCAGACACUCUGGGCAGACGUGUCUGCCACCGUGCUUCCUGGCCAGAUGAGCCUCAGCCGCUGUGAGGAACAGCCAGUGCCGAGACCCCCCAGAGUCCAUCAGCACUCCCAGAGGAAAAGUGUCCAAGGCCUUUGUGAGGUCCUGCACAGCCAUGGGCCGAGCUGCUGCAGCUGCUGCUGGGGAGUCUCUGGCCCAGUGACAAGUGUGAAAUUCCUUCUGGCAGCUCAGGCUUCACCUCUGGAUGUCCCGGACGCUUCCGCAGCCCUCACAUUUUCCACCUCCCAGCUCCAUGACUGUGCAGUGCCUGCACUGCAGUCACACUCCCACACUUCUGACACCGCUCCGGGUGAAGCCACCCCCGGGAGCAUUUCUUACACCUCUGUUUACAUCUCCCUACAGUCUCUCCCCAUUCCCUUUGUCACAUCCACACUGUAAAGCUCAGAGAAUGCCCAGCACUGACAGUCCCAGCAAGGGAGAGGCAGGCAAGGGACCCUCUUCACUGAUUUGGCUGAAAACUGAAUGCACAGGCAUUCCUCCACAAGAAAAGCAGGUUUGCAAGCUAACCUUGGUAAGUUUUUUGGUGACAUUGAGCCAUGUUUUGGGCUUGGGUUUUGCCUGGAAAUGACUAAAAAAUACACAAUGAAUAUAUCAAGGAGUCCAUUCCUGCUAUGCCUUGAUAUUACACAAACAUAUCCAAAACUGUGCAUGCUGACAAACAAUGUAACACAGGUUUUAAGUAAUUUAAUUGAAAUAUGCCUUACUUUAGUCACUCUGUGCUAUUUAAUUUUAGUACUUUCAAUAAACACUGCGUAUGAACAAUACCACUGCAGAAGGUCAGCAUAAUACAUGAAAGAAGCAUAUUUUUCUGAUCAGUAGAGUUUUCCAUCUUGAUUUAUAUUUCAGUCAUCAGUGCCACCCAGACAGUUACUACUGACUGCCUGAACAGGCUGUGGACUUUCAGCAGUGCAUAAAGGAAUUCUGCCCAAUAGCAGAAAUAACUUAUGGCACCCCCGGCACCCGUUUUCCACAGCCUUUCGGGUUUAAGUUACGGAAUGGCUCAUGUCCAGCUCAGGGUGCUCUGGGUGGAUUGGAAAGUAACCUGUGGAUUUCAACUUUGAGACAUCCCUUUGCUGUCAGGAUGUUGCAAAACCGUGCCAGACAUUGCUUUUCUUUAAAUAGCUCUGAACACUUUUUAUUCCCAGUCAUCAGGAGUUUCCAGCAUACUUAACAGAAAGUAAUUAUUUAAUUAGUGAAACAUUCCUGAGAGCCACACUGGAAUCAUUGCCCUAACUUUACAUGAAACAGCAACACAGAGGGAUCAUGGGACAGAACCUGAGAGAUACUUGGAUGCUGAGUAGGAUUUGCCAAAGCCUGGAGAUAUUUAAUUCUUGCUGAAAGCAAUUGGGAGACUGGAAACAGUAGAGCAGCACUUUCUCCCAAUGAAGGGACACCUGAUUUAUUUUCUGUCCUUAUUUCCAUUUCACCUGUCCCUCACCAUCAUCCCAAAACAGUCUCUGUCAGACCUGCCAGCUGUAGCAGAGAAGGUGCUCCUAGGUGGAUUUGUAUGAAAUGGCACUGCCCUUCCCCAUCUACAGCUGUGCCACUCUGGAACCUCACAUCUGUCUGAGCGCAGUCAGCUUUACCCAGCAAACCUCUCCACGAUGAGGGAUGGAACUCCUGCCCAUUGGGAGGAUGGGGCCCUGUGCCCAUUGGGGAUGUAGGAAUCACAGCUCCCACCCUGGACAAUCAAGGGAAACCCUGACUGAGUUUACUGUGGCUUCCUAAGGCAAUAGUCAAUGGCAGCUUUUGCUCAUCUCCUCAAGUGGAGGAUCUAAUCCUUUGCCAGCUCCUGAACUUGCUGAAGUUUGAGGGGAAAUUCAUUUUAAAGCCAAGCAAUCCAUUAAUUAGCUGUUAUUUCUAAUGGCUUCAGAAAAUGAAACUUGUUUUAAAAGUGACAGUGGUGUGAGAAAAUAAUCUGCUUUGAGUAGCAGCUCCUCACCCUGCUGACAGCACUGGAAUGUCAAUGCCUGCAUCCUUAUGCUUCCACAGGCUCUCACACUCACACACUCGAAUCACACGUGCACACACAAGGAUUCUUUUCAAUCGUGUGAUAUUCCAAGUGAAAUCAGUAGAAAGCUGUUUAUGAAAAAGAGAAGUCCAAGGCACACGUGCAGCUCUGCAUGGAGCAGCACAUAGAACUGCACAGAGGAAGACCUCAGUAUUGUAAAUUAACUUUCCCCGAGCUGGAUUCAGAUUGUUUCAAUGACGAAGCAUCUGAAUAAUGCUGCUUGUCUUAUUAUCCUCAUGGAGAGAUGGGCUGCUUCCUCAGUUUGUUUGGUUUUAUCAUCAGCCUCUCCGGGCAAAGCUCCAUCUCAUUUAGCAAGUCGCAAAGAAUGAAGGUUUGAGUUUGGAGAAGAGCUGAUUUCUUUAAAAUAAUCAUUAAAAAAAAGAAGCUGGUGCUUGAGGCAGCAGUGCCUCUGCUCCACUCAUUAACACUUCUCUGCCGCUCCAUGAUGUGGGCAUUAGGAGAUGUCAGCACAGAGCCUACAGCCAGCUUGUUGCAAUCAUAUGUUCCACAGCGAGGGACAAGUGACAGAACUGUCACAGUGAAACCCUUGGAAGUGGGGGACAAGGAAGGAAAAGGAAGAGGAGCCCCCUGCCCCACCCUCUGAGUGUCCGUGGGACUCACACCACGGAACACUGUGGGACCAAGCCCAGCCAGCAUGGAGCUGUGCCUGUGGGCAGGGGAAACCCACCCGCCUGGCUACAGACCCUUGUUCUGCCCACAACACCCCGGACCUCUCUCUUCCAUCGGGAUCUGACUCUUGUGCUCCUGCUCCUUGUUCCAGGAAACCAGGGAAGCAGAGCCAGAGGAAGGGAAGAGCAGGUCCUGUCUGGCCCUAAGGCUGCCUCUCUCCUCAGGGAUGCUGCCCUGAAGGCCAGGACUACUGAGCCCCAAGUGGCCCUUCCAGGUGAUGGAUGUCCAAGCCUCAUGUGCAGGAGAGAAAGGCAGGAACUGAGGAACAGCAAAACCAGAAGGAAGGAUCAGUGCUCUGCAGCAGGUUCAGUGCAACAGCGUGUGAGCUUGGAACUCAGCAGCGCUGUAGCAAAGAGGCCUAGGGUUACCUUUUCUUUUGAAGUAGCAAAAUAGUAUCCACAGGAGGUGGGAGCAAACACAGAGGGCACAAACAUUUGAAGAACUAUGGUUUUAUAAGGCUGAAAAUUGAUAAUAUAGAACUAUUCACUGGACUGCUUCAUGUAGGAAUUUUAACUUAUGAAGCUGGUUUAUGAAUCAAGGUUAGGUUUUUUAAAAUAAGAUUACCAGGAGCUUGCUUUUUACUGAUUUGCAAUGUUCCUUUUCCACGGGGAGGCUCAUCAUAUGAAACAAAGUGGAGGAAGCCCAGACUGUGAGAGUGCAGAUGGAAGCUGAGAUUUCCUGCCCUUGGACAGCCAGGGGCCCAAUGGACUCCCCUGGGUCACAAGGGCUGCAGCACGGUCAGUUACUGAUAUUUGAGCAAAGAAGUCCUGCUGGGAGCCAUGCAUGGUGAUGGGCAAAAGAGAUUCUCUCUGUGCUCCACGCCCAAUGGCAAAGCUGCGCUCCAGUCACAUGUGAGGUAGGACACAUUUAAAGGCCCACAUACACAGCACAUGCUCCACACCGUGGGCUCAUGUCUCCCUCCACAAAUUCCAGCUGUCCUGUGUAAUACAAAAGGAAUUAAAGGACAGCAAGAAUGUGAGAGUAGAAAGUAUAUGUGUCAAGUUAGAACAGUCGCUGCACAAGUGUGUGGUCUCUCCCAGAAGCAGUUUUUAUCUCUUCUAUAACCUGUGAUCAGACUGAGCAGGAUGUUCACGCUGCCAGACUCCCACUCUGGCCUCUGCUUGGACAGGCUGUCUCCCCGGAUGAACAAGAGCUGAGAGCCUGCACUCCUCACUCGGGCCCCAGAGUUACAGAGCAUUAGCACCUCUGCAGGCCUGUACCUCUCUCCACACACAGGCCAAAGGGCCAAGCUUAUGCCCCUCUGCUCCCUCCAGUCCUACUGAGGAAAGAGCCAUGCCGGAAUGGCACCCAGCUGACUGUCACGCCUGGCCCUCAGGACAGGUCUCUGAGGGCAGGGAAGCCUCCCAGUACUUGGAAAGACACGGCUUUGCACAGCAAAGUGGAAGCGGAGGCUCUGUGCUCUGAGGUCUUGCAACGGCUAAGUCCAAAGAGAAAGGGGUGUGGGGAUUUUACAAGGCGUGACAGAAGUCAUUCACUUACACACUCCGAAGCAGUGAUGGUUAACGAGCUGGACAUGAAAGACUGGCCUUCAUUCAAACUCACCAAAACCUCCAGGGUUCUGCCAAGAGACAAAGAAGAAACAUGAGCAGCCAUGGCAGAGCCAAGAGGGCUCAUACCUGCUCCACAGGCCCUUGUACCUACAGCCUCUGCUCCCCAGGGAGUGUCCUCUGAGGGGAAAUUGAAGCCUGUGCUUAUUCCUAUUUGGGAAUAAGUUUGGUCUCCUUGACAAAGAGCUGUGCAAGUAGAGAAUACCCCUUCCCCAUUCCACAGAGCAGGAAAUACUCCCAAAAGUUUUCCAUAAAAUAAAUUGAAGUUCAGCUGCAAAA